rnacentral:rRNA from 1 species
UACGAAGGGGGCUAGCGUUGCUCGGAAUCACUGGGCGUAAAGCGCACGUAGGCGGCUUUUUAAAGUCAGGGGUGAAAUCCUGGAGCUCAACUCCAGAACUGCCUUUGAUACUGAGAAGCUUGAGUCCGGGAGAGGUGAGUGGAACUCCGAGUGUAGAGGUGAAAUUCGUAGAUAUUCGCAAGAACACCAGUGGCGAAGGCGGCUCACUGGCCCGGUACUGACGCUGAGGUGCGAAAGCGUGGGGAGCAAACAGGG